CAAAAAAUCAUCUGGAAAGGCCAACCUUAGGUUCUACAAUAGUGAUCUUAUCUAUAGGAGUAAUUGAGGAAGUCACUCAAAUCUUAUGAAAUCUUGCACAAAUCUUGUGACCUCCAAAACAAUGGCUGGCUAUUGUUUAAGUAUGCCUACAUCUUAGCAGAAUUUGGGCUCCUCCCGGAAUCCUAACAUUGUGGUCUUUCAUUAGUUUUAUAGGGCAGUUUAGUUUUGGGAAGGGCUAUUUUCAUCCUUGCUUUAAAGUUAAACUACAAAUAAAUUCCUCCCGUGGUUAGCCUGGCUUCUGCCCAGGAAUGAGCAAGGACAGCCAGCCUGUGAGGCUGGAGGCAAGAUGGAGUCAGCUAUGUUAGGCUUCUCUCACUGCCAUCAUCUUUGCAAAGGUGGUUUCACACUCACUCAGACUGGGACGUUGUACACAUGCCAAUCAACCUAACAUGCACAUCUUUGGAAUGCAGGAGGAAACCAGAGGACCCGGAGAAAACCCACACAGAUAAAUAAUUUGCAACUUCCUUGUCUGCCAAGACUACUGUGAACAUAUACUCUGGUGACCCGGACAUUGUUACAAGCCUCAGAGCAUGGAUCCUUCUGGCAGAGAAAAGUCAUUAGGUGGGACCAAGCAAGGUGGACAUCCAUACAGAGCAGCAGGGAAGCCCUACCAUCCUGAAGCAGAUUGUCAUAAGCAUAGACCUUUAGCUUGAUGCCUUCAUGAGAUAAAGGGGAAACUGGAGCUUGGAACUUGAUUUCAUCCACAGGAACGGCUGGAAAAUCAUCUUCAAUCAUUUCACCUGGAAGUCUCCCAAGAGGACAUGAGUAUCCUGUUAAGACAUCCUUUUAUGUUUUCAGUAGCUUUGCAGUUUUGUCUUUGAUUCUUCAUGCUCAAGCAUUUGCGGGCCUUGAUCCUGGAGAGACUGCCCCUUCCAGCACUAGAGAUAAUUCCUAGAGAUAGCCAAGGACUCCCCUGCAAGCAUGCCUUUAACAUACAAACCAACCAAUCCAGAGCCCAACCCACAACCAUCUCCUUUAUCAAAUUCUCACACACCAAGCCAAUAUUCCCCAUGUACUAAGUCACCCCAGGGCCAGGUACAGGACAACCAGAGAUCUUUCCUAUAGCCCAGAAACAGCUGGAAUUAUUCAGACCAUCCAAUCCUAGGCAUACUCAGUGUCUCUACCUUGACUCGCUCAGGACUGGAGACAGACACUGGUCCCGGGGAUGGGAGCCACCCCCAGUCCAGUAGUAGGAAGCUUAUUCUUCUGUACACAGUGAAGCUGUCUCCUCUUCCAUCACAACUCCCUGCUGGGAGUUGCUCAAGGCAAGAAGACCCGGUGCCAGCAAGACUGAAACAAAAAAGCAAAAGAGCUUUUAAAAGCAAGCCUUCUUCUGACUCAGAACCUGCUCCCGGACCUCCCCGUGGUCUCCCUGGACUGGUGCUGUGACUCUGGGGGAACGCCAGGGAAGGAAGAGAGGAAAACCUUGUUAUUGAUGCUAAAUGAUACCCUCUCAAACAAGAGAGUUCUUCUCAUCUUCUGUUUUCUAUGAAGCAAGGAUAAUAAGAAGCUUCAAAUUGGAACAUGUUUUAUUUUUCAAAACUUAAAGAGCUUAAAGUAAUUUAUACACACGCUUUUAAAAAUUUUAAGAAGUACUGAAAGGCUUGCAGUGAAAAGCUCGUCUUCUGCUCCUCAGAGCGAUCACUUUGUAAAAUGAAAUUUUUAUUGAGGUAAAAUUUACAUAUGGUGAAAUACGUACACAGACUUUAAGUCUUCAAGCCAAGUGGUUUUGAUAAAAAUUGGUGCAGUGGUGUAACUACCGCCACGUUCAAGACACACAUCAUUUCUAUCACCCCUGAAAAUACCUUCACGCCCCUUGGCCAUGCUAUACAGGAAAGCAAAAGUAAUUCACCAUAAUGACCAUGAAAAUGACCACUGAGUAGAAGAAUUGUUAUGGAAAUAUCUUUUACUAUUGUUUUUAAAAGAUGAAAUAGUUAUAAAUAUGGUUAUAUUUUGGAUCCACUAGAGGGAGUAAUAAAGUCCAAUUGAUCAAUUUUUUAUUUUAUCUCGUGUUUUUGAUAUCAUUCUUCAAGAAACCUAAGAUCACUGAUUUACUCAUGCUUUCUUCUAAGAGUUUCACAGUUUUAGCUCUUACAUUAUAGUCCAUGAUCCAUUUCAAGUUUAAUUUUGUGUAUGGUGUGAGGGAAGGGUCCACACAUACUUUUACAUGUGGCUGUACAAUUGUCCCAGCAACAUUCGUUGAAAAGAUUAUUCUUUCCCCCAUUGGAUUGUUUGGGUACCCUUGUUGAAAAGCAAUUGAUAAUGACUGUAAAGGGUUAUUUCUGGACUCUGAAUUCUCUUCCAUUGAUCUAAAUGUCUCUCCUUAUGUCAGCACCACACUGUCUUGAGUAUAGGAGUUUUGUAUUAAGCUUUGAAAUCAGGGUGAAUAAGUCCUCCAACUUUGUUUUUCAUUUCCAGAUUGUUUUUGCUAUUCUGUGGAUUUUGCAUUUCUAUAUGAACUUUAGAUCAGUUUGUCAAUUUCUACAAAAAUAUCCAACUGAGGUUUUAAUAAGGAUUGCAUUGAGUCUUAGAUCAAUUUGUGGAGAAUUGUCAUCCUAAUAAUACCAAGUCUUCCAGCCUUUGAAAAUGUAAUGUCUCUCUCCAUUUAUUUAGAUCUUCUUAAUUUCUUUCAACAAAGUUUUGUAGUUUUCAGAGUGUAAGCUUUGCACUUCUUUUGUUAAAUUUGUCCCUAAAUAUUUUAUUCUUUUUGAUUCCAUAUUGUGAAUGGAACUGCUUUCUUAAUUUCAUUUUAGAUUGCCAUUGUUAACGUAUAGACAUACAAUUGAUUUCUCUAUGUUGAUUUAUCCUGCCGCCUUGCUGAAUUCAUUUAUUAGUCAUUUUUUAAAAAUAGAUUUUUUAAAGGAUUUUCUGUAUAUGAGAUUAUGUUGUCUGAAAAUAAAGAUAGUUCUAUUUCAGAC
rnacentral:lncRNA from 10 species